rnacentral:rRNA from 1 species
GAUGAACGCUGGCGGCGUGCCUAAUACAUGCAAGUCGAGCGAACUUUUGGGAGCUUGCUCCCAAAAGUUAGCGGCGGACGGGUGAGUAACACGUGGGCAACCUGCCUAUAAGACUGGGAUAACUUCGGGAAACCGGAGCUAAUACCGGAUAACAUGUGAUACCACAUGGUCUCAUAUUAAAAGAUGGCUUUUAGCUAUCACUUAUAGAUGGGCCCGCGGCGCAUUAGCUAGUUGGUGAGGUAAUGGCUCACCAAGGCGACGAUGCGUAGCCGACCUGAGAGGGUGAUCGGCCACACUGGGACUGAGACACGGCCCAGACUCCUACGGGAGGCAGCAGUAGAGAAUCUUCCGCAAUGGACGAAAGUCUGACGGAGCAACGCCGCGUGAGCGAAGAAGGUCUUCGGAUCGUAAAGCUCUGUUGUUAGGGAAGAACAAGUACCGUUCAAAUAGGGCGGUACCUUGACGGUACCUAACCAGAAAGCCACGGCUAACUACGUGCCAGCCGCCGCAGUAA